UCCGUAGGGGGCUAUCGUUAUCCGGAAUUACUGGGCGUAAAGGGUGCGUAGGCGGUCUUUCAAGCCAGAAGUGAAAGGCUACGGCUCCACCGUAGUAAGCUUUUGGAACUGUAGGACUUGAGUGCAGGAGAGGAGAGUGGAAUUCCUAGUGUAGCGGUGAAAUGCGUAGAUAUUAGGAGGAACACCAGUAGCGAAGGCGGCUCUCUGGACUGUAACUGACGCUGAGGCACGAAAGCGUGGGGAGCGAACAGG
rnacentral:rRNA from 1 species